rnacentral:lncRNA from 1 species
AUGAAUCAGUGCAGCGUUAUUUGUAACAUACACUCGGAAUGCAUUAAAACAACCAGGCAGCCCGAACCAAGGGCUGAUUCACCGCGCUUCCCGGAGCGCUCAGACCACGGGUCUGUACGACGUGCCGCUUUCGAGCUCCGAACUACUCCUGCAACCCCAGUUUGUGCCGUGACUGCGUUCUGCUCCUCCACGGCGCUUGUUUAUUCGACCUCAUCUCCCCCCAGCAUCUCGCUGCCGAAACGCUCGGUAACGACUGUGUGGAGGAAAUCUCUUCCGUCGCGGCUGCUCCCGCUCCCGUCACAGGGAACGGCAGGGCCGCCCAGCCCCUCACUCGCGGACUUCCAACGCCGCAGCCGAACGCACCGCGAGCGACCCCACGGAGCGCGGCAGGCCGGCAAGCGGAGCGCCGAGCGCCUCGAUGGGCCCGGCCCCGGGGCGGGGCGGCCGCUCGCUCGCUCGCUGCCUCGGGGAUGGAUUCUCGGCCGCCGGUAUCGGCACGGCACCAUCUUGGGAGGGGGGGGAGGAAGGGGCGGACCGCGGGCGGUGCCGGCGGAGCUGCGGGCCCUGCGCGGCGCUCAGGAAAGGAAGAACCAGGCAACAUCGGUCCUACCUGCCGGCUUUCAGCCUGAAGCUGCCGUGUAUGACUGAUGAAGCGAUAGAUGUCCAUGCCCAGCAGCACGUAGUCAUGCUGGGAUGCUAAGAUCUUCAUGCAACUGGCUGAAAAAUGGUUCCACAAUAUGGCAAUCCCAACUCUAACAUUAUUAAAAUGGUAAAUAAAAUUGAAAAGACUUAAAAAGGUAGCCA